CUUAAUCCAACAUCGAGGUCGCAAACCCCCCUGCCGAUAAGAACUCUCAAGGGGGAUAACGCUGUUAUCCCUAAGGUAAUUUAAUCUUACAAUCAAAAUAAAUGGAUCAAGUAAAUAUAAAUAAAUAUAACAACACAAAGGAGGGGUUAAAUAAAUCCCUCCCAUCACCCCAACAAAACAUAUUAAACGGCCCAGUGAACCCUCACAAACAGAAAAAGGACCAUAAUAAAUGUUAAACUCUAUAGGGUCUUCUCGUCCCAUAAAAACAUCUAAGAAUUUUAACUCAAAGAACAAAUUCAACAAACAAUUCAAAAUUAAGACAGCCCAUGCCUCGUCAAGCCAUUCAUACCAGAUCACAAUUAAAGAACUAAUGAUUAUGCUACCUUUGCACGGUCAAAAUACCGCGGCCCUUCAACACCAGUCAGUGGGCAGGCCAUACUUCAAAAACUAA
rnacentral:rRNA from 1 species